rnacentral:rRNA from 1 species
GUAGGUGGCAAGCGUUGUCCGGAAUUAUUGGGCGUAAAGCGCGCGCAGGCGGUUCGUUUAAGUCUGAUGUGAAAGCCCACGGGCUCAACCGUGGAGGGUCAUUGGAAACUGGAGAACUUGAGUACAGAAGAGGAAAGCGGAAUUCCACGUGUAGCGGUGAAAUGCGUAGAGAUGUGGAGGAACACCAGUGGCGAAGGCGGCUUUCUGGUCUGUAACUGACGCUGAGGCGCGAAAGCGUGGGGAGCAAACAGGAUUAGAUACCCUGGUAGUCCACGCCGUAAACGAUGAGUGCUAAGUGUUAGGGGGUUUCCGCCCCUUAGUGCUACAGCUAACGCAUUAAGCACUCCGCCUGGGGAGUACGGCCGCAAAGGCUG